rnacentral:rRNA from 1 species
UACGUAGGGGGCAAGCGUUGUCCGGAUUUAUUGGGCGUAAAGGGCGUGCAGGCGGCUCGGUUUGUCCGUUGUGAAAACUCGAGGCUCAACCUCGAGACGUCGAUGGAAACCAUCUAGCUAGAGUCCGGAAGAGGAGAGUGGAAUUCCUGGUGUAGCGGUGAAAUGCGCAGAUAUCAGGAAGAACACCCGUGGCGAAGGCGGCUCUCUGGUACGUGACUGACGCUGAGACGCGAAAGCGUGGGGAGCGAACAGG